rnacentral:rRNA from 1 species
GCGCAUUAUGCCAGCAGCCGCGGUAAUUCCAGCUCCAAUAGUGUAUAUUAGAGUUGUUGCAGUUAAAAAGCUCGUAGUUGGAUUUCUGUCGUGGUCAGCCUGCGCUGCCCGUAUGGGUGUGCGCGUGGUUUGCCCUCGGCUUUCUUCUGGUUGCCUUUGGCGCUUAAUUGCGUUUUUAGGUUUUCUGGAACUUUUACUUUGAGAAAAAUAGAGUGUUUCAAGCAGGCUUG